CCUACGGGUGGCAGCAGUGAGGAAUAUUGGUCAAUGGUCGUGAGUCUGAACCAGCCAAGUAGCGUGAAGGAUGACUGCCCUAUGGGUUGUAAACUGCUUUUAUAAGGGAAUAAAACGAGUCACGUGUGCCUUUUUGCAUGUACUUUAUGAAUAAGGAUCGGCUAACUCCGUGCCAGCAGCCGCGGUAAUACGGAGGAUCCGAGCGUUAUCCGGAUUUAUUGGGUUUAAAGGGUGCGAAGGCGGGCGUUUAAGCGGGCGGUGAAAUCGCGGGGCUCAACCCCGCCGAUCCGCCGGAACUGGCUGCCUUGAGUGCGGAGGAGGCAUGCGGAAUGCGCGGUGUAGCGGUGAAAUGCAUAGAUAUCGCGCAGAACCCCGAUUGCGAAGGCAGCGUGCCGUGGCGCCACUGACGCUGAGGCACGAAAGCGCGGGGAUCGAACAGGAUUAGAUACCCUGGUAGUC
rnacentral:rRNA from 1 species